rnacentral:rRNA from 1 species
GAUGAACGCUGGCGGCGUGCCUAACACAUGCAAGUCGAGCGAUUUACUUCGGUAAAGAGCGGCGGACGGGUGAGUAACGCGUGGGUAACCUGCCCUGUACACACGGAUAACAUACCGAAAGGUAUGCUAAUACGAGAUAAUAUGCUUUUAUCGCAUGGUAGAAGUAUCAAAGCUUUUGCGGUACAGGAUGGACCCGCGUCUGAUUAGCUAGUUGGUGAGGUAACGGCUCACCAAGGCGACGAUCAGUAGCCGACCUGAGAGGGUGAUCGGCCACAUUGGAACUGAGACACGGUCCAAACUCCUACGGGAGGCAGCAGUGGGGAAUAUUGCACAAUGGGCGAAAGCCUGAUGCAGCAACGCCGCGUGAGCGAUGAAGGCCUUCGGGUCGUAAAGCUCUGUCCUCAAGGAAGAUAAUGACGGUACUUGAGGAGGAAGCCCCGGCUAACUACGU